GAGAUAGCUCAGUUGGUAAGAGCAUGGUGCCGAUAAUGCCAGUGUUGCAGGUUCAAUCCCCAUAUGGGACA